UACGUAGGUGGCAAGCGUUGUCCGGAAUUAUUGGGCGUAAAGCGCGCGCAGGCGGCCUUUUAAGUCUGAUGUGAAAGCCCACGGCUCAACCGUGGAAGGUCAUUGGAAACUGAAAGGCUUGAGUACAGAAGAGGAAAGCGGAAUUCCACGUGUAGCGGUGAAAUGCGUAGAGAUGUGGAGGAACACCAGUGGCGAAGGCGGCUUUCUGGUCUGUAACUGACGCUGAGGCGCGAAAGCGUGGGGAGCAAACAGGG
rnacentral:rRNA from 1 species